CCUACGGGGGGCAGCAGUGGGGAAUAUUGCACAAUGGGGGAAACCCUGAUGCAGCAACGCCGCGUGAGUGAAGAAGUAUUUCGGUAUGUAAAGCUCUAUCAGCAGGGAAGAAGAUGACGGUACCUGAAUAAGAAGCCCCGGCUAACUACGUGCCAGCAGCCGCGGUAAUACGUAGGGGGCAAGCGUUAUCCGGAUUUACUGGGUGUAAAGGGAGCGCAGACGGCGAUGCAAGCCAGGAGUGAAAGCCCGGGGCCCAACCCCGGGACUGCUCUUGGAACUGCGUGGCUGGAGUGCAGGAGGGGCAGGCGGAAUUCCUGGUGUAGCGGUGAAAUGCGUAGAUAUCAGGAGGAACACCGGUGGCGAAGGCGGCCUGCUGGACUGCAACUGACGUUGAGGCCCGAAAGCGUGGGGAGCAAACAGGAUUAGAUACCCCGGUAGUC
rnacentral:rRNA from 1 species